AUUGAACGCUGGCGGCGUGCCUAAUACAUGCAAGUAGAACGCUGAAGGAGGAGCUUGCUUCUCCGGAUGAGUUGCGAACGGGUGAGUAACGCGUAGGUAACCUGCCUGGUAGCGGGGGAUAACUAUUGGAAACGAUAGCUAAUACCGCAUAACAGUAGAUGUUGCAUGACAUUUGCUUAAAAGGUGCAAUUGCAUCACUACCAGAUGGACCUGCGUUGUAUUAGCUAGUUGGUGAGGUAACGGCUCACCAAGGCGACGAUACAUAGCCGACCUGAGAGGGUGAUCGGCCACACUGGGACUGAGACACGGCCCAGACUCCUACGGGAGGCAGCAGUAGGGAAUCUUCGGCAAUGGACGGAAGUCUGACCGAGCAACGCCGCGUGAGUGAAGAAGGUUUUCGGAUCGUAAAGCUCUGUUGUAAGAGAAGAACGAGUGUGAGAGUGGAAAGUUCACACUGUGACGGUAGCUUACCAGAAAGGGACGGCUAACUACGUG
rnacentral:rRNA from 1 species